CAGUUGGUAGAGCGCACCCUUGGUAAGGGUGAGGUCCCCAGUUCGACUCUGGGUAUCAGCACCA
rnacentral:tRNA from 3 species